CGGGCCAAGUCCUUUGGAACGAGGCGCCUUAGAGGGUGAGAGCCCCGUCCCCUCCCGGGCCGCCGUCGCCGCGCGAAGCUCCUUCGAAGAGUCGAGUUGUUUGGGAAUGCAGCUCUAAUCGGGAGGUAAAUUCCUUCUAAAGCUAAAUACCGGCCAGAGACCGAUAGCGCACAAGUAGAGUGAUCGAAAGAUGAAAAGCACUUUGGAAAGAGAGUCAAAAAGCACGUGAAAUUGUUGAAAGGGAAGCUCUUGCCGCCAGACUUGCCGCGGUCGCUCACCCGCCCCCCGGGGCGGCGCACUCGUCCGCCGGCNGGCCAGCGUCGGUUCGGGCGGCCGGACAAAGGCCCUAGGAACGUAGCCCCCCUCGGGGGGUGUUAUAGCCUGGGGCGCAACGCGGUCAGCCCGGUCCGAGGAACGCGCCCUCGCGCGAGGACGCUGGCGUAAUGGCCGCAAGCGACCNGUCUUGAAAACACGGACCAAGGAGUCUAACGUCUGUGCGAGUGUUCGGGUGUCAAACCCGCGCGCGCAAUGAAAGUGAACGGAGGUGGGAACCCCCUCGAGGGGCGCACCAUCGACCGAUCCUGAUGUCCUCGGAUGGAUUUGAGUAAGAGCAUAGCUGUUGGGACCCGAAAGAUGGUGAACUAUACCUGGAUAGGGUGAAGCCAGAGGAAACUCUGGUGGAGGCUCGCAGCGGUUCUGACGUGCAAAUCGAUCGUCAAAUCUUGGUAUAGGGGCGAAAGACUAAUCGAACC
rnacentral:rRNA from 1 species